UUACUUGGAUAACUGUGGUAAUUCUAGAGCUAAUACAUGCACCAAAGCUUCAAUCUUCCCAGAGCGGAGCGCAUUUGUUCGUCACAAAAACUAGCGCCUUCGGGCGUCCAGUGUUGACUCAGAACAACUUAGCUGAUUGCACCGUCUUGUACCGGCGACGUGUCUUUCAAGUGUCUGCCUUAUCAACUUUCGAUGGUAGUGUACCUGACUACCAUGGUGAUGACGGGUAACGGAGGAUAAGGGUUCGACUCCGGAGAAGGGGCCUGAGAAAUGGCCACUACGUCUAAGGAUGGCAGCAGGCGCGCAAAUUACCCACUCUCAACAUGAGGAGGUAGUGACGAGAAAUAACGAGACCGAUCUCUUAUGAGGCCGGUCAUCGGAAUGGGUACAAUUUAAACCCUUUAACGAGUAUCUAUGAGAGGGCAAGUCUGGUGCCAGCAGCCGCGGUAAUUCCAGCUCUCAAAAUGCAUAGAAUUAUUGCUGCGGUUAAAAAGCUCGUAGUUGGAUCUGUGCUAGCCGGCCGGUCCACCCACUGGGUGUGCACUGGUUCGGUUGGCUUUUCUGCCGGUCUUUCCCCGGCGUUGGCCUUCACGGGUCGGCGUCGGUGGGCUGGCGAGUUUACUUUGAACAAAUCAGAG
rnacentral:rRNA from 1 species